CCUACGGGAGGCAGCAGUGAGGAAUAUUGGUCAAUGGGCGCGAGCCUGAACCAGCCAAGUCGCGUGAGGGAGGACGGCCCUACGGGUUGUAAACCUCUUUUGCCGGGGAGCAACGGGCGUCACGUGUGGCGCCACUGAGAGUACCCGGAGAAAAAGCAUCGGCUAACUCCGUGCCAGCAGCCGCGGUAAUACGGAGGAUGCGAGCGUUAUCCGGAUUUAUUGGGUUUAAAGGGUGCGUAGGCGGUCCGUUAAGUCAGCGGUAAAAUUGCGGGGCUCAACCCCGUCGAGCCGUUGAAACUUGCAGACUUGAGUUGGCGAGAAGUACGCGGAAUGCGCGGUGUAGCGGUGAAAUGCAUAGAUAUCGCGCAGAACUCCGAUUGCGAAGGCAGCGUACCGGCGCCAGACUGACGCUGAGGCACGAAAGCGUGGGGAUCGAACAGGAUUAGAUACCCCAGUAGUC
rnacentral:rRNA from 1 species